rnacentral:rRNA from 1 species
AUGACUGCUUGGGAGACCGGAACCUUGGAGAAACUGGUGAUGUUGACCCUGAUGAAGAAGCUAGGAUGUUUGCUAGACCAGGUUUUGAAGAGCCUUGGUGUUGUUCCGAAUCUGGAUGAAUAUAGGAUCUCACUAAACACAGGUAUCAACCUCGAUCAACGAAGGUACAAUGCGCCAACUACUUCUCAGGUUGCAGCAAUAUGGGUUGAAGGAAGCGACCCACAUAAAACCUUUGAUAGGAGUGUUGUCGUAUAUGGUAAAGGAGACGCUGGUAAAGGAGACCGUCCCCUGUAUAUUAGAGCAUACCAUGGGUGCUACGACCCUUUGUCAUAUCCACUGUUCUUCCCACGUGGGGAGAUCAGUUGGAAUCGUUGGAUGCCAUAUAUUGAGUUAGUCGAUGACACAAACCAAGUUUCAGUGGAUGAAUUUGCACAACAGAACCCAGCCUAUGGUUUUCCUUCAGAUGAUAACGUGAUUAGAGAACAAGUUGGUCAUAAAGCACAGCAUGAAGAGCAACCCACUGAUUUACCUGAAGAUGAUAACAUGAUUAGAGAACAAGUUGGUCAUAACGCACAGCAUGAAGACCCACCCACUGAUUUACUUGAUGGUGACGACGAUGAUAACCCGGAUGAGGAUUUUGGUGAUGAUGAGAUGAAUCCAACAAAAUCAAGGAAAUUUGUUAGCGCGAGAGAGUACUAUUGCUUCAAGCUGUGUGUCCGGAAGAAGCUUUUUAACAUCAUCUUGUUCGGGGGGCGCCUUUUCCAACAGUGGGCUGUUGACAUGUACAUCAAGAUUGAGACAAUGAGGCUUGACUGGUAUUCAAAGCCAGCAAAUCAAAAGGUUAUACGCGCUGACCUGUAUCAGGGUCUUGUUGACACCAUCGUUGCUGGCGAGUCACGCGGUGAUCAGAUUGGCAAGAGAAUCGUGCUUCCACGUACAUUUCCUGGUGGUGACAGUGACAUGCAGCGCAGGUUUCUGGAUGCGAUGGCAAUAGUUCAACAUUGGGGUAAACCGGAUUAUUUUGUCACGAUGACAUGCAAUCCCUACUGGGAGGAGAUAAUGCAGGAAUUGUUGCCUGGACAGCUGCCACAAGACCGCCCAGACCUUGUGGCAAGAGUAUACAGAGCUAAGCAACGAAAUAUGAUGGACUUACUAACUAAGGGUAAGCAUUUCGGAGAAGUCGCAGCUUAUGUACAUGUCACAGAGUUUCAGAAGCGAGGUCUCCCGCAUGAGCAUAUACUUCUAAUCAUGGAAGCAAAAAGCAAGUUAAGGACCUCAGAUGACUAUGAUCGGGUGAUAUCUGCAGAGAUACCCGACAAAAAGAAAUAUCCUGUCCUCCAUGAUCUGGUAGUCAAACACAUGUUGCACGGCCCAUGUGGUGCACUCCAGAAAAGUUGCCCUUGCAUGAUAGAUGGACAAUGUCGAUUUCAUUACCCGCGAGAUUUCUGUGAUGCUACAUUACAAGGGAAAGACUCAUAUCCCAUCUAUAGAAGGAGGGACGACGGGGUUCGAGUAAGGAUCAGAGGAGCAGAUUUGGACAAUAGAUGGGUGGUCCCUUAC